rnacentral:lncRNA from 1 species
AGAAGUUUCAAAUGACCCUCCAACACUAUGUAGACUGAGGAGCCUCUGACCAACUCAGCUUCUGAAAAAAAUCCAAACCUGUCCCUGCAGUUUCGGCUGUGCUGUUUCCGGAGUCAAGUAUUGAGGUUGAAGGAGGCUGAUUAGGCCUGGUCUGUGGCAGAAUGGUGCCCAAGCAGGGACCUCUGGACAGGAUGACAUGUCAUGCAAUAUUAAAAUGAAAAGUGACUUUGUGUGCUGGUAUAAGAAGAUCUUGAAGAUAGAGAUGACAGACCACCUGGACAAUGCUUCCUGAUCGUUUUUGUUAAAGUCUGGGAUGUCUUUGGCAUCUUCAUCUGCAUACCUUCUUUUGCUGCAGGAACACUCUGCUUGGACUGUCACCCUGAAUUGGGAGGCUCCUGGCACUUUGCCCUUCUGCUUGUUGACAUCCCCUGAAGGAGGAGUUCUCAGGACACAUCAGGUGAAUUCUAGCCAUAACAUCAGGCUCCAAAGAGUUUUCUAGCUAAUAAUGUCCACUAUUGAAGACGUUUCGUUCUUGUCUAUUUGCUGGAUGCCUGGGUUAGCAGAAGCUUGUCUAAGGAGUCACUGCCUGUGUUGAAGUGGGCUCUGCAGUGAAAUAGCUGUUGGGAAGUUACCCAAGCUCCUCUGCCUGGAGUCAUGGCCUCAGCCAUGGCCUUGUGGAUAUUUUCUAGCUCACAUAAACAAUCCUGAGAGAACAUUCGUGGUCGUAACAGCAAGAAAGUUUAUGGGAAAAGAGGACACUGUGACUGUUGGUUCCAGGAGCUGAAGAUUGCCACCUGACCUUCAGAGAGCCCCCAGUCUCUCCCACUCCCCACCCCCCAUCCCUUGGAGCCUCCUCUUGCUUAUGCUUAUAUUGCCACUCCUGAAUAAAGUUUUCAGAGCUUGAUCAGUA